rnacentral:rRNA from 1 species
AACGAACGCUGGCGGCAUGCCUAACACAUGCAAGUCGAACGAGACCUUCGGGUCUAGUGGCGCACGGGUGCGUAACGCGUGGGAACCUGCCCUUAGGUUCGGAAUAACUCCCCGAAAGGGGUGCUAAUACCGGAUAAUGUCUUCGGACCAAAGAUUUAUCGCCUUUGGAUGGGCCCGCGUUGGAUUAGCUAGUUGGUAGGGUAAAAGCCUACCAAGGCGACGAUCCAUAGCUGGUCUGGGAGGAUGAUCAGCCACACUGGGACUGAGACACGGCCCAGACUCCUACGGGAAGCAGCAGUGGGGAAUAUUGGACAAUGGGCGAAAGCCUGAUCCAGCAAUGCCGCGUGAGUGAUGAAGGCCUUAGGGUUGUAAAGCUCUUUUACCCGGGAUGAUAAUGACAGUACCGGGAGAAUAAGCUCCGGCUAACUCCGUG